rnacentral:rRNA from 1 species
AUACGUAGGGUGCAAGCGUUAAUCGGAAUUACUGGGCGUAAAGCGUGCGCAGGCGGUUUUGUAAGACAGAGGGGAAAUCCCCGGGCUCAACCUGGGAACUGCCUUUGUGACUGCAAGGCUAGAGGACGGCAGAGGGGGCUGGAAUUCCGCGUGUAGCCGGGAAAUGCGUAGAUAUGCGGAGGAACACCGAUGGCGAAGGCAAUCCCCUGGGCCUGUACUGACGCUCAUGCACGAAAGCGUGGGGAGCAAACAGGAUUAGAUACCCUGUAGUCCACGCCCUAAACGAUGUCAACUGGUUGUUGGGUCUUCAUUGACUCAGUAACGAAGCUAACGCGUGAAGUUGACCGCCUGGGGAGUACGGCCGCAAGGUUGAAACUUAAAGGAAUUGGCGGGG